UUCAUCCAAAGUUCCUCACUUCCUCUUCACCCAGCAACACCACCCGCUACCAAGUCAAUAAUAGUCGCCGGAACCCUUUAAAACCCCAUGAAUAUGCAUUCCUGGCCCAUUAUCACACUCAAGAUCUGCAAACGUGGUGGAUCCAUUAUCAUUUUUCAACCUAAUUCCACAUUUCACCCCCAAUGUUAACAAAUCAGGAUAAAUAUAUCAACUUAUCAAGUGCAACAACCGUUUGUUCAUGCUUGUAGCGUGCGAAUUUUACACUUUCAUGGCGGAAAAACCCUCAAUUUUGCCUGCUAACUUGAAUUCCGAUUCAUCUCCCAUAUAGUGAUUCAGUUUCAAACAGUUGGUUAAUGCCAGAAUCCAUCACAAGUGAUUCAGUUUCAAACAAUAGUGUUGUUUAGGGCUAUCAGUUGCACGUAAAUCGGUCUAUGAAACAUGGAUUUUACAGUUGUUGGUGAUCUUUGAAGGUUUUAAAGAUUCCUUCUUUGAAUGUGAAAUGGCAUUUGUCAUUGCAACUUGAAGGACCCUGGCAGGUGAUGCUUAAACAAACGGAUAAUUCAUAUGCUUGUGUUGCUGAAAGUGAAACCCGCUUCACCCUUAAUGAAACGAAAGAAGAACUGCUAAGGGUUCUUGGACUGAAGGAGGAACAAGGAAGCCAACUUGAGUUCCUUCGCAGGGGCUAUAAGGUAAAUUUCCCAUUCUAUUCGUUCCUCCAAAAAUUCACCCUCCACCCGUAGGAUGUAUUUUUUUUUAGAAAGUUCCAGGCUAAAU